UGUAUCUUUGUCGAAUGUUCCACUUUUACACACGCAAUAUGGCAACUUAUCAACGUCCAAUAUGGUGCCUAAGGGGUUAUCGUACAUAUUUCCGCGUCUGUGCGAAACACGUCAAGUGUCCAAAUAGGAACUUCCCUCCUCAAUAGGGAACAAGAACACGAAAGCAGAAAUAUUAACUUAAGGUGGCGGUAAUGCGCACGGACCCUGGUUGCCAACUAUACCGGAAGAAAGAAGAAACACAAUCGCAAUGGAGAAGGAAUAUGUGCAAAUAUUGCUUCUGACUUUGCGAGCUUAUAUUGGAACCCGUCAUCGACUUCUUCAGUUUCUCCGUGACAUGCAUCAACAGAGAUUACGUAACAGGAAGAAGGUGCUGUUGUGGCUCAUAUCAAGGCGAGCGCCACCUUCUGUGUGGAUGCGUCCGCGUUCUCGGCACUGGUGGGACCACGUUGUUCCGGAUUUCAGCCCUUCGCAGUUCCAGCAGAAUUUCCAUUUAUCCAGGAAGACCUUUGAGUACAUCUGCGGUCGGGUGAGACGUGCCAUGGGGAGAAGGG